AUAGCCUAUAAUUGGGUGUGUGACCGUGCAGUUGGCUAAAUUCGGCUUAAACUAAAUUAUAAAUUUGAAAUAUUUCAAAUUUAAAAAGUAAAAAAAGUAGAAAAUAGUUGAAAAAUGUCUAAAUCAUUUUCUACUUUUAUAUUUGAAACACGAAACAUCUAAAAUACGAAAGCGAAAACGGUAAAGUCGGACAAGAAAAUACGAUUUCUAUCGGAUUAAAUAUAGAAAAUGAUGCGG
rnacentral:lncRNA from 1 species